rnacentral:rRNA from 1 species
CACGUAGGCCGUUGAGUUAGUUAAUUGUGAAAUCCCAAAGCUUAACUUUGGAACUGCAAUUAAAACUGCUCGACUAGAGUUUGAUAGAGGAAAGCGGAAUACAUAGUGUAGAGGUGAAAUUCGUAGAUAUUAUGUAGAACACCAGUUGCGAAGGCGGCUUUCUGGAUCAACACUGACGCUGAGGCGCGAAAGUAUGGGUAGCAAAGA